AGAGUUUGAUCCUGGCUCAGAUUGAACGCUGGCGGCAGGCCUAACACAUGCAAGUCGAGCGGUAGAGAGAAGCUUGCUUCUCUUGAGAGCGGCGGACGGGUGAGUAAUGCCUAGGAAUCUGCCUGGUAGUGGGGGAUAACGUUCGGAAACGGACGCUAAUACCGCAUACGUCCUACGGGAGAAAGCAGGGGACCUUCGGGCCUUGCGCUAUCAGAUGAGCCUAGGUCGGAUUAGCUAGUUGGUGAGGUAAUGGCUCACCAAGGCGACGAUCCGUAACUGGUCUGAGAGGAUGAUCAGUCACACUGGAACUGAGACACGGUCCAGACUCCUACGGGAGGCAGCAGUGGGGAAUAUUGGACAAUGGGCGAAAGCCUGAUCCAGCCAUGCCGCGUGUGUGAAGAAGGUCUUCGGAUUGUAAAGCACUUUAAGUUGGGAGGAAGGGCAGUAAAUUAAUACUUUGCUGUUUUGACGUUACCGACAGAAUAAGCACCGGCUAACUCUGUGCCAGCAGCCGCGGUAAUACAGAGGGUGCAAGCGUUAAUCGGAAUUACUGGGCGUAAAGCGCGCGUAGGUGGUUUGUUAAGUUGGAUGUGAAAUCCCCGGGCUCAACCUGGGAACUGCAUUCAAAACUGACUGACUAGAGUAUGGUAGAGGGUGGUGGAAUUUCCUGUGUAGCGGUGAAAUGCGUAGAUAUAGGAAGGAACACCAGUGGCGAAGGCGACCACCUGGACUAAUACUGACACUGAGGUGCGAAAGCGUGGGGAGCAGACAGGAUUAGAUACCCUGGUAGUCCACGCCGUAAACGAUGUCAACUAGCCGUUGGAAGCCUUGAGCUUUUAGUGGCGCAGCUAACGCAUUAAGUUGACCGCCUGGGGAGUACGGCCGCAAGGUUAAAACUCAAAUGAAUUGACGGGGGCCCGCACAAGCGGUGGAGCAUGUGGUUUAAUUCGAAGCAACGCGAAGAACCUUACCAGGCCUUGACAUCCAAUGAACUUUCUAGAGAUAGAUUGGUGCCUUCGGGAACAUUGAGACAGGUGCUGCAUGGCUGUCGUCAGCUCGUGUCGUGAGAUGUUGGGUUAAGUCCCGUAACGAGCGCAACCCUUGUCCUUAGUUACCAGCACGUAAUGGUGGGCACUCUAAGGAGACUGCCGGUGACAAACCGGAGGAAGGUGGGGAUGACGUCAAGUCAUCAUGGCCCUUACGGCCUGGGCUACACACGUGCUACAAUGGUCGGUACAGAGGGUUGCCAAGCCGCGAGGUGGAGCUAAUCCCAUAAAACCGAUCGUAGUCCAGAUCGCAGUCUGCAACUCGACUGCGUGAAGUCGGAAUCGCUAGUAAUCGCGAAUCAGAAUGUCGCGGUGAAUACGUUCCCGGGCCUUGUACUCACCGCCCGUC
rnacentral:rRNA from 1 species